rnacentral:rRNA from 1 species
AGCAGCCGCGGUAAUUCCAGCUCCAAUAGCGUAUAUUAAAGUUGUUGCAGUUAAAAAGCUCGUAGUUGAAUUUCGGGAUCAAAUUGUCGGUCGUGCCUCGGUACGUACUGGCGUUAUUGGUUCCUCCCUUCUGAAGAACCGCGAUGUCAUUAAUUUGGUGUCGCGGGGAAUCAGGACUGUUACUUUGAAAAAUUAGAGUGUUUAAAGCAGGCUCGCGCUUGAAUACAUUAGCAUGGAAUAAUGAAAUAGGACGUUUGAUUCUAUUUUGUUGGUUUCUAGGAUCGACGUAAUGAUUAAUAGGGAUAGUUGGGGGCAUUAGUAUUCAAUUGUCAGAGGUGAAAUUCUUGGAUUUAUUGAAGACUAACUACUGCGAAAGCAUUUGCCAAGGAUGUUUUCAUUAAAUCAAGAACGAAAGUUAGGGGAUCGAAGACGAUCAGAUACCGUCGUAGUCUUAACCAUAAACUAUGCCGACUAGGGAUCGGAUGAUGUUAAUUUUUAAUGACUCAUUCGGCGCCUUACG